rnacentral:rRNA from 1 species
UACGGAAGGUCCGGGCGUUAUCCGGAUUUAUUGGGUUUAAAGGGAGCGUAGGCCGGAGAUUAAGCGUGUUGUGAAAUGUAGACGCUCAACGUCUGCACUGCAGCGCGAACUGGUUUCCUUGAGUACGCACAAAGUGGGCGGAAUUCGUGGUGUAGCGGUGAAAUGCUUAGAUAUCACGAAGAACUCCGAUUGCGAAGGCAGCUCACUGGAGCGCAACUGACGCUGAAGCUCGAAAGUGCGGGUAUCGAACAGGAUUAGAAACCCCGGAGUCCGCGACUGAU